UCACCGGGUAAACAUUCAUCUAA
rnacentral:miRNA from 2 species